rnacentral:rRNA from 1 species
GAUGAACGCUGGCGGCGUGCCUAAUACAUGCAAGUCGAGCGAACGGACGAGAAGCUUGCUUCUCUGAUGUUAGCGGCGGACGGGUGGGUAAGACGUGGAUAACCUACCUAUAAGACUGGGAUAACUUCGGGAAACCGGAGCUAAUACCGGAUGAUAUUUUGAACCGCAUGGUUCAAAAGUGAAAGACGGUCUUGCUGUCACUUAUAGAUGGAUCCGCGCUGCAUUAGCUAGUUGGUAAGGUAACGGCUUACCAAGGCAACGAUGCAUAGCCGACCUGAGAGGGUGAUCAGCCACACUGCAACGGAGACACGGUCCCGACUCCUACGGGAGGCAGCAGUAGGGAAUCUUCCGCAAUGGGCGAAAGCCUGACGGAGCAACGCCGCGUGAGUGAUGAAGGUCUUCGGAUCGUAAAACUCUGUUAUUAGGGAAGUACAUAUGUGUAAGUAACUGUGCACAUCUUGACGGUACCUAAUCAGAAAGCCACGGCUAACUACGUG